AUGCAGUCGAACGGUAGCACAGAGGAGCUUGCUCCUUGGGUGACGAGUGGCGGACGGGUGAGUAAUGUCUGGGAAACUGCCCGAUGGAGGGGGAUAACUACUGGAAACGGUAGCUAAUACCGCAUAAUGUCGCAAGACCAAAGAGGGGGACCUUCGGGCCUCUUGCCAUCGGAUGUGCCCAGAUGGGAUUAGCUAGUAGGUGGGGUAACGGCUCACCUAGGCGACGAUCCCUAGCUGGUCUGAGAGGAUGACCAGCCACACUGGAACUGAGACACGGUCCAGACUCCUACGGGAGGCAGCAGUGGGGAAUAUUGCACAAUGGGCGCAAGCCUGAUGCAGCCAUGCCGCGUGUAUGAAGAAGGCCUUCGGGUUGUAAAGUACUUUCAGCGAGGAGGAAGGGGAUGUGGUUAAUAACCGCAUUCAUUGACGUUACUCGCAGAAGAAGCACCGGCUAACUCCGUGCCAGCAGCCGCGGUAAUACGGAGGGUGCAAGCGUUAAUCGGAAUUACUGGGCGUAAAGCGCACGCAGGCGGUCUGUCAAGUCGGAUGUGAAAUCCCCGGGCUCAACCUGGGAACUGCAUCCGAAACUGGCAGGCUAGAGUCUUGUAGAGGGGGGUAGAAUUCCAGGUGUAGCGGUGAAAUGCGUAGAGAUCUGGAGGAAUACCGGUGGCGAAGGCGGCCCCCUGGACAAAGACUGACGCUC
rnacentral:rRNA from 1 species